GUCUAUGGCUAUGCUACCCUGAACAAGCUCGAUCCUGUCUGAUCUCGGAAGCUAAGCAGGGUCGGGCCUUGUUAGUACUUGGAUGGGAGACCACCUAGGAAGACCAGGCGCUGUAGGAG
rnacentral:rRNA from 1 species